rnacentral:rRNA from 1 species
ACUCCUACGGGAGGCAGCAGUAGGAAUCUUGGUCAAUGGGCGAAAGCCUGAACCAGCGAUGCCGCGUGUGUGAAGAAGGCCUUAGGGUUGUAAAGCACUUUCAGCAGUGAAGAAACCCGGUGGUUAAUACCUGCCGGAUUGAUCGUUAACUGCAGAAGAAGCACCGGCUAACUCCGUGCCAGCAGCCGCGGUAAUACGGAGGGUGCGAACGUUAAUCGGAAUUACUGGGCGUAAAGCGCGCGUAGGCGGUUUGAUAAGUGGGAUGUGAAAGCCCUGGGCUCAACCUAGGAACUGCAUUCCAAACUGUCAGGCUAGAGUAUGGUAGAGGGAGGUAGAAUUUCCUGUGUAGCGGUGAAAUGCGUAGAUAUAGGAAGGAAUACCGGUGGCGAAGGCGGCCUCCUGGACCAAUACUGACGCUGAGGUGCGAAAGCGUGGGGAGC